rnacentral:rRNA from 1 species
AUUGAACGCUGGCGGCAGGCCUAACACAUGCAAGUCGAACGAGCGGCGGACGGGUGAGUAAUGUCUGGGAAACUGCCUGAUGGAGGGGGAUAACUACUGGAAACGGUAGCUAAUACCGCAUACCAUCAGAUGUGCCCAUAUGGGAUUAGCUAGUUGGUGGGGUAACGGCUCACCAAGGCGACGAUCCCUAGCUGGUCUGAGAGGAUGACCAGCCAAACUGGGAAUGAGACACGGUCCAGACUCCUACGGUAGGCAGCAGUGGGGAAUAUUGCACAAUGGGCGCAAGCCUGAUGCAGCCAUGCCGAGUGUAUGAAGAAGGCCUUAGGGUUGUAAAGUACUUUCAGCGGGGAGGCGUUACCCGCAGAAGAAGCACCGGCUAACUCCGUGCCAGCAGCCGCGGUAAUAC